GGAUGUUUUCGUAAAUGCUCCAAAGAACCCUUCCUGCCGGUUCCUCUCCUCCCCAGUCCCCACCUCUGAACACCGGUGAGCGCCGCCUUCACCGCCACCAGCACCAACUCACCGAAUCCAGAGCUCCCGCCUGUCAUCCCGCCGUCGCCCCGGCAUUAGUUCCGCUGUCCUCUACCUCGUGCCUCCCCGCCCGCAGGUCACGCACGACCCCUCGUGUUUCCCCAUCUGCACCGGUGACCUCGACACCCCAUCUGCACCGGCCUUCGUCUCGGUAUCCCUGCUGUUCUGCUCUUCACUCUCGGAUACAACCCACAGCAAUUUAGGUGAAAUUUUGAGGCAUGGAGGAUGAAGAAAACAUCGAGGAAGAACUUUUGCUGGUGGAGUCGCAACUCAAUGGACUACAAGACAAAAUCAAGACAUUACUUGAUCAGCAAGAAGAAUUGUAUGAGCGCCAAGCACAGUUGAAGGCUAUGCUGGAAAUAUCUAAAACUUCCAGAGAUGCAUCAAAUAGUGCCCCUUCAGUUGCUCUGGAAGAUUGGUCUGGAAAGUUCUCAUGGGAUUCUCAGGCUGAUGACACUCGAUUCAAUGUAUUUGGUAUUUCUUCCUACAGGUCAAAUCAACGAGAAAUAAUUAACUCAAUCAUGAGUGGAAAAGAUGUUCUGGUUAUAAUGGCUGCUGGUGGAGGGAAGAGUCUGUGUUAUCAACUUCCAGCUGUACUUCGUGAUGGAAUUACACUUGUCGUCAGUCCUUUGCUUUCGCUUAUUCAGGAUCAGGUCAUGGGACUGGCGGCUUUAGGUAUACCAGCUCACAUGUUGACUUCCACUACCAACAAGGAAAUCGAGAAGUUCAUUUAUAAGGCACUUGAAAAAGGUGAAGGGGAAUUGAAGAUAUUGUAUGUGACACCUGAAAAGAUAUCCAAAAGUAAAAGGUUCAUGUCUAAGCUUGAGAAAUGCCAUCAUGCUGGGCGUCUUUCUCUUGUUGCAAUAGAUGAGGCACACUGCUGCAGCCAAUGGGGGCACGAUUUCCGUCCAGACUACAAGAAUCUGGGCAUAUUGAAGAUCCAGUUUCCCAGUGUUCCCAUGAUAGCUUUAACUGCAACUGCAACAAGUAAAGUGCAAAUGGAUCUGAUAGAGAUGCUUCAUAUCCCAAGAUCUGUCAAGUUUGUCAGCACUGUUAACAGGCCCAACCUUUUCUAUAGAGUAUAUGAAAAGUCAUCAGUUGGAAAGGUUGUUAUUGAUGAGAUUGCAAAUUUCAUAAGCGAAUCAUAUCCAAAUAACGAAUCCGGGAUAGUGUAUUGUUUUUCCAGGAAAGAAUGUGAACAGGUUGCCAAAGAAUUGCGUGGAAGGGGUAUUUCAGCAGAUUAUUAUCAUGCAGAUAUGGAUGUUGUUGCUCGUGAGAAAGUUCAUAUGCGUUGGAGUAAAAGCAAAUCACAGGUCAUUGUUGGAACAGUGGCUUUUGGAAUGGGAAUCAAUAAACCAGACGUCAGGUUUGUGGUUCAUCAUAGCCUUAGCAAAUCUAUGGAGACAUACUACCAGGAAAGUGGUCGGGCAGGGAGAGAUGGACUGCCUUCAGAAUGUGUUCUAUAUUAUCGGCCUGGUGACGUUCCCCGCCAAAGUUCGAUGGUCUUCUAUGAAAACUGUGGUCUGCAAAAUCUUUAUGACAUAGCGCGAUAUUGCCAGUCUAAGAAAAACUGCCGUCGUGGUGCUUUCUUUCAACAUUUUGGAGAGGCCGUGCAGGAAUGCAACGGAAUGUGUGACAACUGUGUUUCCAGUAUUGAGCUCAAGGACAUAGAUGCUACCUACCAUACAAAAAUCACUGUUUCACUUCUCCAAGAAAUGCAACAAAAUGACCAAAGAGCUACAUUGCUGCAGCUAGUGGAUAAGUUCAAAACAAAGUGGAAACAUUCAGGUUGUUCAAAUGAAGCAGUUGAUCUUAAGAAGGAGGAAAUUGAGCAGCUGAUAGUUCAACUUAUACUUGACCGUGUUUUGAAAGAAGAAUUUCAGCAUACUGCAUAUACAACCAAUGCAUAUGUUGUCUUAGGACCACUGUGGAAGCCAGCAUUGCAAGGGAACAGACCGGUGAAGCUAACUAGUGCUAUUCACUCUCAAGAUAGUGGUGAUAGAUUCAAAAGUGCAAAGCGCAAUCAGAUGAGCAAUUUGGAAGCUAAAUUGGAUGACCUGCGUAGAACCAUCUCUUCUCGUAAUGGGGGCAUAUUCCCGCAUGCAGUUCUUUCCACGGAGCAAAUUUCCCUGCUAAACUGCCAUACUCCAACCACUAUUGCCGAGCUAGAAAAGCUGAUAGGGAAGGUAAAGACCGACAAGUACGGUAGCGACAUCAUUGAGGUGAUGUGGUCAGAAACUGGCAGUGGAAAGGACAGUGGUGAUGGAGCUAAGAGGCAAAAGAAAGAUAAGGGUGUUGUUUUCGUUGAGAGUGGCGAGGAGGAAGGCUAGCAUUACCAUGGGUGAGUCAAGUGUGCAUGCUCUGACAAGGUAAUAUACAUUUGAUUUGAGAGGGUAUGUUAGAUAAUGGUCUGGGCUGAAAUGAUUUUUCUCAUCAUUUUCUGAAAAUAAAAUAGUUUUUCUGGUUUGUUUUGGGAAUGGUUUCAUUUGGAUGGGCUGGGGUGGACAGAUGAGAAAUAUAGUUUGGUUUGGUUCAGGCUGUGGAAGAGGACGUUUUAGUUUUGUCUUGGGUAGGCUGAAAGUUUUUGUUCUGAAUUCCUUUCAACCUGUGGUUCCUGUUAGUCCCAUAGUUUUGUGCCGGCUAUUUACCAACCGAGCCAGAGCGGCCAAUCGCUCUCCACCUCCGCAUUCGGCGUGUUUUGCUUGUCAGUGUCAUCUUCUGGCUCUCCACUCCUAUGUCAUCUGGUUCUCGUUGGCGGCGUGUACCCAACAUCUUCUGCUAGGCCAUACUUGUUCAACAUUGGUUGAUAUGAUUUACUGGACAUGCUCACCUUGACAGACCUGAGCAAGAGAUUUCGUUCCUAAUCAUCCCCUUCAUGUUCAGCUCACACCAUAUGGAUUAGUGCUCUCUGACUGCUCCACGUGGAUUGAACUGGAUGUAUAUGUAUGGCAUAUCUUCAUAAGCUAGUUUGCAUGCUGAACUCGAAAGAAACAGGGCUGUAUGGGAUUGUGAACUUGGAUAAGUUUUUCUUGACAUGAUCUUUCUCCAGAUGAAAACUUGGUAUCUUGAUGGUAUUCUAUAUGUAAUUCUUGUGGUGGUCAGAAGUGUAGUUCUUGAUGCUACUAUGAGCUCUUAGAUCUUCCAUGGGGUCUCGAUUUUCAAUUGAUUGAGCUUGUUUCCAUACAGUAUAAGGUUUAUAUUAGUCGGGCCUUCUAGUUUUGUAUCCUCUGGCAGUAUUUGUUAACUGAAACUCUGCAUCCAUGAUUCAAACUUAUAGUAACCUAAUUCAAGAGAGUUGCAUUUCUGCGCAUUACGCCAUUGUUCUUCCUGUUGUAGCUGAAACAAACUUUCCCAGUGGGCGCACCUCAUUGUUUCUAUCCUUAUUCUCUGUACUAGGCUUAUUUUUUAUUUAUCAGAUCACUUGAUGUUUCAGGCGGGAGAGUGUUUAAACAAACCAUCCUAGAGUAGUUGAACGGAAGUAAGCAAUAUUAGCAAAUGAGGACGAAUGACUGACAACACGACAGUAGAUUUUACUGAGCUGGUUACCAGGAAGAUAAGAUGGUGAUCAAAAGGGUGUAGAAAGAUGGAGCCUCUGCUCACACCAAAUGGAGUGAAGCUGUAAAACCCUAGGAGGAUUAUUUUCGAGAAAACGCAAAGGACCUUUGCAUUUCAUUUCAUGGAAAAGGUAGAGCAAGCCUCCUAGGAGGUGAGAG
rnacentral:rRNA from 1 species